UACGUAGGGGGCUAGCGUUGUCCGGAAUCAUUGGGCGUAAAGCGCGUGUAGGCGGUCCGAUAAGUCCGCUGUGAAAGCCCGAGGCUCAACCUCGGAACUGCCUUCGAUACUGCGGGUCUCGAGUCCGGGAGAGGUGAGUGGAAUUCCUAGUGUAGAGGUGAAAUUCGUAGAUAUUAGGAAGAACACCGGUGGCGAAAGCGGCUCACUGGAUCUUUUCUGACGCUGAGGCACGAAAGCUAGGGUAGCGAACGGG
rnacentral:rRNA from 1 species